CCUACGGGAUGCUGCAGUGGGGAAUAUUGCACAAUGGGGGAAACCCUGAUGCAGCGACGCCGCGUGAGUGAAGAAGUAUUUCGGUAUGUAAAGCUCUAUCAGCAGGGAAGAAAAUGAAGGUACCUGAUUAAGAAGCCCCGGCUAACUACGUGCCAGCAGCCGCGGGAAUACGUAGGCGGCCAGUGUUAUCCGGAUUUACUGGGGGUAAAGGGAGCGUAGACGGCAGCGCAAGUCUGAAGUGAAAUGCCGGGGCUUAACCCCGGAACAGCUUUGGAAACUGGGCAGCUAGAGUGCAGGAGAGGUAAGUGGAAUUCGUAGUGUAGCGGUGAAAUGCGUAGAUAUUAGGAGGAACACCAGUGGCGAAGGCGGCUUACUGGACGGUAACUGACGUUGAGGCUCGAAAGCGUGGGGAGCAAACAGGAUUAGAUACCCGAGUAGUC
rnacentral:rRNA from 1 species